CCCAUUGACUGGGAUUUGUGUACAAGGAAAAAUAAAAAGUAGAGAUUGAUUCAGAUUGUCCAUGUUUCAUUUUCUCCCCUAGGUCAGACGGAAAGCUACUUUCAUUAUCCAGGUGUUCACUCCCCAGCAUGAAGGAGCUGACCAGCUGACUGACCGUCAUGAGCCCAACCCAGCAGCUGUUGGGCCUCCACUUUGGUCUAUUUUGCUAGUUCUUACACGGCAUAAUUGGACUCACAUUGGGUCAGGAGACAUCAUCUAUGCAAACAAAAGACUGAUGGCAUCUUUCCCAUCUGAAAAGUCACAUUAGCAGUAACAGCAGACUGGAGGGCAGCAUAUCAACAGUUAAAUGUUUCCACCAAGAUGUGGCACAUCUGAGCAAGUCAACUCAGCAGGCCUCAUUUCAAGGAUAAAGUAUAAUUUCCCAGAGCAGAACUAAGGAUCAAGAAUUAGAAGUAAGAUCUUCUACAAUCAAAAUCAUUAACUGAUUUUUGCUUAAGUCCUAAAGACAGGUGUGGGGGUAUACUAUUGUUAAUUUUGCUAUCUUCAGUAAAAAAUUAAAAAAUAUUGAAUUUAUAUAGUUGAGUAUUAUUAAACUGUACAAAGUUAUGUUUUACUGUCAGUAUUAAACUAAAGCAUGUGCUAUCUUGGAACAGAAAUGAGUCAUUUUUAUGCCUUCCUCAAGCAAGUUUACCAUAACUUUACUUAAACUUUUUAGUACUGUUUUGAGUAUACUUCUAUAAAUGUCAGUUACCAAAAAUGAGUUUCAAUGUGAGUGGUUUUAGCUUGUAUACAGCAAUUCUGGCCUCAACACAAAAGAAUAAAAAGGGCAGAAAGAACUCUGAUAUUUCUGGAAAUCAUGGACUCUUUUCCUGGGGCAUUUGUUCUAUAUUCAUAAUAAAAGAAA